rnacentral:misc_RNA from 1 species
UACGGAGGGUCCAAGCGUUAUCCGGAAUCAUUGGGUUUAAAGGGUGCGCAGGCGGUAAAGUAAGUCAGUGGUGAAAUCCUGCAGCUCAACUGCAGAACUGCCAUUGAUACUGCUAUACUUGAAUAUAGUCGAAGUGGGCGGAAUGUGACAUGUAGCGGUGAAAUGCUUAGAUAUGUCACAGAACACCGAUAGCGAAGGCAGCUCACUAGACUAAGAUUGACGCUCAUGCACGAAAGCGUGGGGAGCGAACAGG